UGGUGGUUUAAGUGAUCUUUAUAGAAGAUGUAAAGAUAUAGGAGGGAGGGAGGAGGAGAAAAGCAGAAUGAUGCGCUGCAGAGGAGGCUGUAGCGAUGAACUGCAGCGAUGAACUAUAGCGAGGAGGCUACAACAAUGAACUGCAGCGAGGAGGCUGCAAAGGAGGUUGCAGCGAUGCACUGCAGAGGAGGCAGAAGCGAUGGGCAAGGAAGCUGCAGCGAUGAGCGAGAAAUCUGCAGUGAUUAGAUGAAAGAGAAAAAAAAAAAUCUGCAGUGAUUAGAUGAAAAAUCUGCAGUUGUUACAACUACAAUUGGGAACUUGGAAAUGGUUCCG
rnacentral:lncRNA from 1 species